rnacentral:rRNA from 1 species
AGGACUUGACAUGGGAGGGCCGUGUCCAGAGAUGGGCAUUU